AUGAACGCUGGCGGCGUGCCUAAUACAUGCAAGUCGAGCGAACGGACGAGAAGCUUGCUUCUCUGAUGUUAGCGGCGGACGGGUGAGUAACACGUGGAUAACCUACCUAAAAGACUGGGAUAACUUCGGGAAACCGUAGCUAAUACCGGAUAAUAUUUUGAACCGCAUGGUUCAAAAGUGAAAGACGGUCUUGCUGUCACUUAUAGAUGGAUCCGCGCUGCAUUAGCUAGUUGGUAAGGUAACGGCUUACCAAGGCAACGAUGCAUAGCCGACCUGAGAGGGUGAUCGGCCACACUGGAACUGAGACACGGUCCAGACUCCUACGGGAGGCAGCAGUAGGGAAUCUUCCGCAAUGGGCGAAAGCCUGACGGAGCAACGCCGCGUGAGUGAUGAAGGUCUUCGGAUCGUAAAACUCUGUUAUUAGGGAAGAACAUAUGUGUAAGUAACUGUGCACAUCUUGACGGUACCUAAUCAGAAAGCCACGGCUAACUACGUG
rnacentral:rRNA from 1 species